AGAAAUAGCCAAUUUAAUAAUGGCAAUGUGGCAUAUGAGUUAUUAAUUUUAAAAAAUACAAUUAUAUCAAAUUUAGGUUAUUAUGAAAUAAAAACUACAAAUAAUAAAUAUAAGGAAACAAAAUUAUGCGAUGUAUUAGAUAGUCCAGGAUACAUUAUUUUAGAUGGAUAUAUUAAGACAAAUUUCUCUGAAAUUUUUAACACAAAAUUAAACAAAAUUAUUGGAUGUGGAUCAAUUACUGAUGGCUUAUACAAACUGAAAAUACAUAUUUUAGAUUUUUCUGAUAAUAAUUAUUUGGAUUUAAAUUUAAAAAAAGGUGACAAAGUUGAAAUUAAAGGAAUUAUGCAACUCAAUGCUGAUCCGCCAUAUUUACUUGUAAAUGACAUCAAUGAUUUAAAACAAAAAGAUGGUCGAAUGUCAAUACUCCAUUUAUUGAAAGGGAUAAAUACACCUUAGAAAAGAAAAUUAGAAG